rnacentral:rRNA from 1 species
UGGCGGACGGGUGAGUAAUGUCUGGGAAACUGCCUGAUGGAGGGGGAUAACUACUGGAAACGGUAGCUAAUACCGCAUAAUGUCGCAAGACCAAAGAGGGGGACCUUCGGGCCUCUUGCCAUCGGAUGUGCCCAGAUGGGAUUAGCUUGUUGGUGGGGUAACGGCUCACCUAGGCGACGAUCCCUAGCUGGUCUGAGAGGAUAACCAGCCACACUGGAACUGAGACACGGUCCAGACUCCUACGGGAGGCAGCAUG